ensembl:snRNA U6 U6 spliceosomal RNA
UUGAUAAACAUAUGCCACAUAUACUAAAAUUGGAUCGAUACAGAGAAGAUUAGCAUGGCCCCUGCGACAGGAUGACAUGCAAAUCUGUGAAGCGCUCCAUCUUUUU